GGGCCCGCACAAGCGGUGGAGCAUGUGGUUUAAUUCGAUGAUACGCGAGGAACCUUACCAGGGCUUAAAUGUAAGUUGCAUUAGUUAGAGAUAGCUAUUUCUUCGGACUACUUACAAGGUGCUGCAUGGUUGUCGUCAGCUCGUGCCGUGAGGUGUCAGGUUAAGUCCUAUAACGAGCGCAACCCCUGUUGUUAGUUGCCAUCGAGUCAUGUCGGGAACUCUAACAAGACUGCCGGUGCAAACCGUGAGGAAGGUGGGGAUGACGUCAAAUCAUCACGGCCCUUACGUCCUGGCUACACACGUGCUACAAUGGCCGGUACAGAGAGCAGCCACUACGCGAGUAGGCGCGAA
rnacentral:rRNA from 1 species